ACCCACCAGCUAGCCCCACCAAACCACAAAACCAACAAAAUACCUUAAAUAACCCCAAAGACACCACACAUCUACCCAACAAACCAUUUUACCCCCUUAGUAUGGGCGACAGAAAAGGAACUAGAUGGAGCAAUAGAAAAAGUACCGCAAGGGAACGCUGAAACAGAGAUGAAACAGCCCAGUGAAGUUUAGAAAAGCAGAGAUCACACCUCG
rnacentral:rRNA from 1 species